UACGUAGGUGGCGAGCGUUGUCCGGAAUGACUGGGCGUAAAGGGAGCGUAGGUUGUUGUUUAAGUUAAAUGUGAAAGCCCGCGGCUCAACUGCGGAACUGCAUUUAAUACUGGACAACUAGAGUGCAGGAGGGGUAAGCGGAAUUCCUAGUGUAGCGGUGGAAUGCGUAGAUAUUAGGAAGAACACCAGAGGCGAAGGCGGCUUACUGGACUGUAACUGACACUGAGGCUCGAAAGCGUGGGGAGCAAACAGG
rnacentral:rRNA from 1 species